UAUAAAUAUUAUAUGUUAUUACAUAAGCCGUCUAUUUCAGCCACUGAUAUCGCUAUCGCAUAUCGCUAGUUAUCAGUUCGAUAAUAUUCGAUAUUAAUUGGGUGAAACUUUCCACACACACGUAAUCUAUGCGCACUUUCAAUUUACCUCUAGUGAUAACUAAACUAGGCAUGUUUAUGUGUAUUUAUCAACAUUACAAAUAAUAUUUCUGUCUCAAGGACUCAGCAGUUCUUUCCGUACAGUUGUUUUCUAAUUGAAGACGUGACGAAGGACUGGAUGACAUUGGUCAGGUGUAGGUGACGGUGGUGGAGACCUCGAGUUGCCUCCACGGUGUUAUAUACUUGUACGGGAGGCUUCGCGAACCAACAAUUUGACACCACCAUCGACAUUACAAGUCCAAUGCGGCCGGGUUUAGGACGUGUGAGUAGACUGGCAGGCUGGAGGUGGAGCAAUGUUCAAUGAGAAGUACAGAGCGUGUACUGCGUGUAGGUGUUCCGGAGUGUGGUUAGUUCCCGAGCUCAUUGUUGCCAUGAGGCUCCGGCGCGAGCCUCGGCCCGUACUCCGUGCACCGUAUCGACCCGCGCCCGCGCCCCGCGCGCCCCGCGCCCCCGCGCCCUCGCCCCCGCACCCCCGCUCGCAGAGGAGACACCAAGGAGGUCGCAGUGUCAGCCGCGAGUGGAACGCAUCAACCUUCGCGUACACCAGCCACCCUAGACACCAGCCUGCCAACCCUGCCAGCCCUGCCAGCCCUGCCACACUGCAAGCGAGGGAGAAUCAUCUGUAUACCCAUCCACAUACAGUCUGUAUUUCUUUAAAAUGUUACAAAUACUUGGAAAUAAAUCAAUUUAGACCCUG